ACACAAUUAAAUCACCAAUUGUUCGCCAAACAACUACGAGCCAUACUUGAAACUUAAAAGACUUGACGGUACUUCAUCACGACCUAGAGGAGCCUGUCUAAUAACCGACAAUCCACGAUUAACCCAACCCCUUCUUGCCCAACAGUCUAUAUACCGCCGUCGCCAGCUUACCUUGUGAAAGAAAUAAAGUGAGCUAAAUAAUACAACAUUAAAACGACAGGUCGAGGUGUAACCUAUGAAGGGGCCAAGAUGGGCUACAUUCUCAUUAGAGAAUACGAAUAACACUAUGAAAUUAGUGUUUGAAGGCGGAUUUAGUAGUAAGCUAAGAAUAAAAUACUUAACUGAACAUAACGCAAUGAAGUGCGUACACACCGCCCGUCAUCCCUGCCACCAC
rnacentral:rRNA from 1 species